CGGCGGACGGGUGAGUAACACGUGGAUAACCUACCUAUAAGACUGGGAUAACUUCGGGAAACCGGAGCUAAUACCGGAUAAUAUAUUGAACCGCAUGGUUCAAUAGUGAAAGACGGUUUUGCUGUCGCUUAUAGAUGGAUCCGCGCCGCAUUAGCUAGUUGGUAAGGUAACGGCUUACCAAGGCAACGAUGCGUAGCCGACCUGAGAGGGUGAUCGGCCACACUGGAACUGAGACACGGUCCAG
rnacentral:rRNA from 1 species